UCCCCGAGCACGCCCGGCCAUGCGUCCCCUGCGCCCCCGCGCCGCGCUGCUCGCGCUCCUGGCCUCGCUCCUGGCCGCGCCCCCGGUGGCCCCGGCCGAGGCCCCGCACCUGGUGCAGGUGGACGCGGCCCGCGCGCUGUGGCCCCUGCGGCGCUUCUGGAGGAGCACAGGCUUCUGGGGGUCCACUGGACGGGGCCUGAGCUACAACUUCACCCACCUGGACGGGUACCUGGACCUUCUCAGGGAGAACCAGCUCCUCCCAGGGUUUGAGCUGAUGGGCAGCGCUUCGGGCCACUUCACCGACUUUGAGGACAAGCAGCAGGUGUUUGAGUGGAAGGACUUGGUCUCCAGCCUGGCCAGGAGAUACAUCGGUGGGCAAGCGCAGGCCCUGGGCCCCCGGGGUGGGGGUACUCCUGGGCAGGUUGCACCCCUAUCACGCAGGCUGCCUGGUCAGGAGAUAUAUUGGUGCGCAGGCGCAGACCCUUGAUGGGGGAUGGGGGGGGACAAGGGAUAU
rnacentral:sRNA from 1 species